GACGAACGCUGGCGGCGUGCUUAACACAUGCAAGUCGAACGGAAAGGCCCUGCUUUUGUGGGGUGCUCGAGUGGCGAACGGGUGAGUAACACGUGAGUAACCUGCCCUUGACUUUGGGAUAACUUCAGGAAACUGGGGCUAAUACCGGAUAGGAGCUCCUGCUGCAUGGUGGGGGUUGGAAAGUUUCGGCGGUUGGGGCUGGACUCGCGGCUUAUCAGCUUGUUGGUGGGGUAGUGGCUUACCAAGGUUUCGACGGGUAGCCGGCCUGAGAGGGUGACCGGCCACAAUGGGACUGAGAUACGGCCCAGACUCCUACGGGAGGCAGCAGUGGGGAAUAUUGCACAAUGGGCGGAAGCCUGAUGCAGCAACGCCGCGUGCGGGAUGACGGCCUUCGGGUUGUAAACCGCUUUCGCCUGUGACGAAGCGUGAGUGACGGUAAUGGGUAAAGAAGCACCGGCUAACUACGUG
rnacentral:rRNA from 1 species